CCAAGCCAAGCCGUUCAGAUUUUGUUGCCCAUUACCACGAGAGUCAGAUCCAGGAUGGACCUUAUCUGGAGUGGGGCCAAAAGCGCCCUGGCCCUGCCUCUAAAAAUAAGCGAGCUGAGCUGCUCCUAUUUUCGGGAAAAGAAGAGGUGAAAGUCUCUUGGACACCAUGCCCCAAGUGUGGGAAGAAGUGGGACGAUUCAUGGGAGCCAGACAGCCAACAGUUUAGCUAAAUCUAUUUUAUUUAUUUAUGUAUAUUAUUUUAUUUGUUUGAUAUUCCUGUUUCUUUGGAAGUGUUUAUUUUAUUACACACAAACACACACAUACAUACAC
rnacentral:lncRNA from 1 species